AGGCCACACCCUAAUGGUCGUGCG
rnacentral:miRNA from 1 species